UAAAGGAUAAGACGUCCGGUGCAUUCGUAUCGAGCGAUGCACUGGUGUUCGAAUCUCGCUGGCGGGUACCAAUUUUUCUAAUGAAAUACGUACUCAACAUAUGUUCACGAUUGACUUCCACGGUGAAGGAAUAACAUCGUGCAAUAAAAAUCAAACCCGCAAAAUUCUAAUUUGCGUAAUUACUGGUGGUAGGACCUCUUGUGAGUCCGCGCGGGUUGGUACCACCACCCUGCCUAUUUCUGCCGUGAAGCAGUAAUGCGUUUCGGUUUGAAGGGUGGGGCAGCCGUUGUAACUAUACUUGAGACCUUAGAACUUGUAUCUCAAGGUGGGUGGCGCAUUUACGUUGUGGAUGUCUAUGGGCUCCGGUAACCACUUAACACCAGGUGGGCUGUGAGCUCGUCCACCCAUCAAAGCAAUAAAAAAAAAAACAUGACCAAAAUAUUUAGCUCGAAUAAUAGCUUUCUCAGCAGUAUUUAAAUUGGAUGCGGUUACAAACUUGUUUCGCGGUAAUUUUCUUAUAAAUCGAAGUACAUAAACAACACAGCGAAGAAGUUUUGACCAUGACGAAAUUCUCAACCCAAGUUGAUAUAUUGGGGAAUCUUCGACAACAGUUAAAGUGGUAAGUGUUACAGAUUUUUUUCAUUUAAGGUAUGUCACUUCCAGAUUUACAAGGUACAAAAGGUUCAAUAUGCCAUUGUGAAAAAGGAUAGCAGGCCCAAGAAGGGCCCUGCCACCAAAGCGAGUUAUUAAUAAUUUGUGACGGUAAAAGACCUCGUGAUACACAAUCGCUAGAAUUUUCCUUACCAUUAAUAUGAAAAAAGCGGUCAGGUGAUAAAUUCUCUUGAAUUUGAGCGAUGCGGUUUCCUACAAAUAUUGACCAUCUGCGGGGAAGAUUUAAUCCAAGAAAGAGCAAUUGUAGAAUCUGAGAAAGCGUAUAUAGCGGUGAUAGGAUGUAAAGAAUUAUAAGCGUUAUAAAUAAGUUUAACUAAUUUUGACAAAACAAGAGCGGCACAAAGCUCAAGGCGAGCUAAUGUAGUUAUCUUAACCGGAGAAACCUUUGAUUUUGAGCACAAUAAUCUUAAAGUAAUAUCUCCUGUGGGAUCUGUAAUGUGUACAUAAACAACGCAACCGUAAGCGUUCAAGCUUGCAUCACAAAAUGCAACAAUAUCUACUUCACAGUCUUUGGAAACUCCAAUAUGGCGCGCUAUUGCUAUAGUUGAAAGCAAUGGAAGCUCUUUCACAAGUGAAGAGUAGCGGUAAAUAAUUGUAUCUGGAGGUGUAUCAUCCCAGUCUAUUUUAGAAUUCCAGAGUUCCUUAAUUAGCAAUUUAGCGAACAAUAUAACUGGAGCAACUAAACCAAGCACGUCGAACAAGCGUGCGACUAAAGAUAAUAUUGUUCUCUUAGUGCACUUUUCAUUAGUGUUUGAGCUCGUCAUAAAAAAUGAGUCAUUAGCGGGAAGCCAUGCAAGGCCUAAAACUUUCAUGGUAUUAUUAGCAUCAUCAGAGAAGCUUACAGAAGAGCGGUGCGUUUCUGGAAGGCUAUUAAGAAAGUCAGUGGAGUUACUUGCCCAUUUUGUUAAAUUAAAACCUCCUGAUUUAAAGAGUGAAAUUAGUUGUUUCGAUAGUUAAUUGAUAGCUGAAAUAUCUUCGUGUAGGGAUGUGACGAGAUCAUCCAUAUAUAAUUGAGACUCAGCUACACUAGCGGCUUCUGGAUAACGAUAACAUUCAUCUGAUACUAAUUGACGUAUAGUACGCAUUGCUAAAUAAGGUGAUGACUUUAAACCAAAGGACAGACAGUUAAAAGCUAAAAUGCGAAGUUUAUCAUUUUUAAAGCGGUACAAUAUUUUUAAAUAUUUAUGGUGGUCUGUGGUCACCCUAAUGCGUAAGUAUAUUUUUUCCACAUCAGCGCACAACGCCACAGCAAAAGCAAAAAUAAGUCUGCCUGUAAAUUUGGACCAGUAUGCAAGACGUCAUUAAGUGACAGUCCACUAGAUGUUUUAGCACUAGCAUCGAGAACUACACGUAGUUUAGUGGUAGUCUUGCUUGGGCGGAUAACUGCAUGGUAUGGCGGUAUAAAAUAACCAUUAUCGGUUUCCUUAGCGGUGUCGUUAAUUUCAGUUAAAUAACCUUUACUAGUGUAAUCCUGUAUAACGAUAUCGUAAUCAUCGCGGAGUGAGGGUAAUUGAACAAACUUACGUUCGAGCGAAAGAAAACGGCGGUGAGCAACAGUAUAAGACUUGCCAAGGUCAGCGGGAUUUCUACUAAAUGGUAACUCAACCGUAUAUCGGCCAUCAUUAUCGCGGGUAAUUGUAGAAAUAUAUUUGUUUUCACACUCGGCUUCCUCAGGGCUAAGAUGACGAUCAUGAGGAAUCUCCUCUAAUUCCCAAAAUUUAUGUAAAAAUGACUCAAGGUCUUUAGGCGUUAUAGAUGAGAAAGUUUUAUGUAAAGUGAAGGUAGAAUGAAUUUUAUUAUUUACAAAAGCGGGUGGAUUAUCAAUAUAAACUGUACUAGAUAGUCACAAAGAGGUAUUAUUAGGUAUCAUUUAUAACAGAAAAAUUAUCAUAUUGCGGUUUCAUAAUGCCGGUGUAACUCACAUCAGGUACGUCACCCAUAAGAACAUAAAAGAAGGUUGUUUCUACGGCAGGUGGCGCUAGUGAAGCAGUAUCUAUACGAUUACCUAAGUAUAUAUAUGGAAAUAACUGAGCACCUAACACCAUAUCAAUCACACCUGGAACGUUCCAAUUUGAAUCGGCAAGCGGUAAAUUACGUAUAUGAUUCAUAUUUGAGGAAUUUAUAAAAUAAGCGGGUAAUUUAUCUGUAAUACAGUCUACUACUAAAGCGUGAAUAUAAUAUUUAUUAGGAGAAAAUCUAGAUUCAAUAUUUAAAUAAACAUAUCCGUGAAUCGGGCGAGCGGUUAAUCCAAUACCUCUAAUAUAAGAAUUAUUUAAAGGUGUAAUCGGUAAUUUAAGUAAUUUACAACAAUUUACAGUUAUUAAAUUAUUUUGUGAACCAUUAUCUAUUAAAGAUCUAACUAUUUUACAUCCCCCUUCCCCUUUAUUCGAGUGAGCGUAUAUUUGAGCGGUUGAUAAUAAAAUAUUACUAUUCGAUUUUAUUUCCGAACUGUGAGUUAACGUGGUAGCGGUCGUAUUAUUUUGUUGUUGUAUCGUUUUCUUAGAGUGUGAACAAGUAUUCGAAGCGGCAUCAUUAUUAUCGUAACACUGAACAACUGGUUGAGAUUGAACCUGGGACCGACCGUAAUCGGACCGCGCGGCAUCACUCGGAAUUCCAUGUACCUGCGACCGACUGACCUGCCUGUCCAUAUCAGCGUAGUCAUUCGAUUGACUGGGUACGCUUUUACUAUUUCGAUUCGCCCGUUUAUUACCAAAACACUUCGAUCAACAAUAGUAACUAGAUUUCGGGUCGGUGCAUAAAAUCUGUCUCGUCAAAUAACAGCGCACUUGAAAUGUGAGCUCUUAUUUUGUUUAGUUCACUUCAAACACAGCCAAUGUCAACCCGUCUCACAAUACCGCAGUGUGUAUUCAAAAGUUGCAAAAAUAAGGCCCGAAAAAGCAAUUUAACGGCCGGAGUAUCUUACUUUCGCUUUCCUAGCAAUCACGUGUGCAGAAUGGAUCUCGAUUGUCGCCAGAGAAACAAGAGAUGACUUUUAUAAGCCAGCUAAGAACUCCGCUUAUUGACACUGGACAUCUUUGCCUUCCGUGCUCACGGCUACUGAAAUGUGGCCGAAACAUUGUAAUAAAAAUACCACGCUUGAAACCGUUUAAA